UCCUACGGGAGGCAGCAGUGAGGAAUAUUGGUCAAUGGAGGCAACUCUGAACCAGCCAUGCCGCGUGAAGGAUGACGGCCCUAUGGGUUGUAAACUUCUUUUGAAUAGGAAGAAACUUAUCUACGUGUAGAUAACUGACGGUACUAUUAGAAUAAGGAUCGGCUAACUCCGUGCCAGCAGCCGCGGUAAUACGGAGGAUCCAAGCGUUAUCCGGAUUCAUUGGGUUUAAAGGGUCCGUAGGCGGGUCUUUAAGUCAGUGGUGAAAGCCGACAGCUCAACUGUCGAACUGCCAUUGAUACUGGAGACCUUGAGUACAAAUGAAGUAGGCGGAAUGAGUCAUGUAGCGGUGAAAUGCAUAGAUAUGACUCAGAACACCGAUUGCGAAGGCAGCUUACUAACAUGUAACUGACACUGAGGCGCGAAAGCGUGGGGAGCAAACAGGAUUAGAUACCCUGGUAGUCCACGCCGUAAACGAUGAGUGCUAAGUGUUAGAGGGUUUCCGCCCUUUAGUGCUGAAGUUAACGCAUUAAGCACUCCGCCUGGGGAGUACGGCCGCAAGGCUGAAACUCAAAGGAAUUGACGG
rnacentral:rRNA from 1 species